rnacentral:rRNA from 1 species
ACGCCUAACACAUGCAAGUCGAACGAAGUAGCAAUACUUAGUGGCAGACGGGUGAGUAACAUGUAGGUAUCUGCCCUUUGGCCUGGAAUAACACGAGGAAACUUGUGCUAAUACCGGAUAAGUCUUUACGGAGAAAGCUUUAUGCACCAUUGGAUGAGCCUGCACUUGAUUAGUUUGUUGGUGGGGUAAUGGCCUACCAAGACUGUGAUCAAUAGCUGAUUUGAGAGGAUGAUCAGCCACAUUGGGACUGAGACACGGCCCAAACUCCUACGGGAGGCAGCAGUGGGGAAUCUUGCACAAUGGAGGAAACUCUGAUGCAGCGAUGCCGCGUGAGUGAAGAAGGCCUUUGGGUUGUAAAGCUCUUUCGUCGGGGAAGAAAAUGACUGUACCCGAAUAAGAAGGUCCGGC